rnacentral:rRNA from 1 species
ACACGUAGGGGGCGAGCGUUGUUCGGAAUCAUUGGGCGUAAAGGGCGUGCAGGCGGUCCUGCAAGUCCGGCGUGAAAGACCCCGGCCCAACCGGGGGGACGCGCUGGAAACUGCGGGGCUUGAGUACAGGAGGGGGUGCCGGAAUUCCAGGUGUAGGGGUGAAAUCCGUAGAUAUCUGGAAGAACACCAAUGGCGAAGGCAGGCAUCUGGCCAUGUACUGACGCUGAGACGCGAAGGUGCGGGGAGCAAACAGGUUUAGAUACCCUGGUAGUCCGCACAGUAAACGAUGUGCACCAGGUGGCGGGGGGUCGACCCUCGGUACCGUAGCUAACGCAUUAAGUGCACCGCCUGGGGAGUAUGCUCGCAAGGGUGAAACUCAAAUGAAUUGGCGGGG